UACGGGGGGGGCAAGCGUUGUUCGGAAUUACUGGGCGUAAAGGGUUUGUAGGUGGCUUGCUAAGUCAGACGUGAAAUCCCUCGGCUUAACCGGGGAACUGCGUCUGAUACUGGAUGGCUUGAGUUCGGGAGAGGGAUGCGGAAUUCCAGGUGUAGCGGUGAAAUGCGUAGAUAUCUGGAGGAACACCGGUGGCGAAGGCGGCAUCCUGGACCAACACUGACACUGAGGAGCGAAAGCCAGGGGAGCAAACGGG
rnacentral:rRNA from 1 species